rnacentral:rRNA from 1 species
UACGGAGGGUGCAAGCGUUAUCCGGAUUCACUGGGUUUAAAGGGUGCGUAGGUGGGCAGGUAAGUCAGUGGUGAAAUCUCCGGGCUUAACCCGGAACUGCCGUUGAUACUAUCUGUCUUGAAUAUUGUGGAGGUGGGCGGAAUAUGUCAUGUAGCGGUGAAAUGCUUAGAUAUGACAUAGAACACCAAUUGCGAAGGCAGCCCGCUACACGGUUAUUGACACUGAGGCACGAAAGCGUGGGGAUCAAACAGG